rnacentral:sRNA from 1 species
ACUGGCGGCCAUGGAACUCACCGGUAAUAGAGGACACAUCUCUUAACUGGGUUGCGCUAAGAACUGAUGUCUAAACCUUCUCAGCAUGGCCCGUAGAGGAGGAGCUGGGGAUGGCCAUCGUGCCUCAGCUACACUGUCUCGGGUUAGCCCUGGAAGUCUUUACACAUGUAGAACCCAUACCCAUAAUAUAUGCAUGGUAUCUGACUUUUUCUACCCAAAUAUGGGAGGCGUGGAAAGCCACAUUUACCAGCUCUCUCAGUGCCUGAUUGAAAGAGGGCACAAAGUUAUAAUUGUCACCCAUGCUUAUGGAAAUCGAAAAGGCAUCCGUUACCUCACCAAUGGCCUCAAAGUCUAUUACUUGCCUCUGAAAGUCAUGUACAACCAGUCUACAGCCACGACCCUCUUUCACAGUCUGCCACUGCUCAGGUACAUAUUUGUUCGGGAGAGAGUCACGAUAAUCCAUUCACAUAGUUCUUUUUCUGCUAUGGCCCAUGAUGCUCUCUUCCACGCCAAGACAAUGGGGCUUCAGACAGUCUUCACGGACCAUUCCCUUUUUGGAUUUGCUGAUGUCAGCUCGGUGCUUACAAACAAGCUUCUAACCGUGUCUCUUUGUGAUACAAACCACAUCAUUUGUGUGUCUUAUACUAGUAAGGAAAAUACUGUACUAAGAGCAGCACUGAAUCCUGAAAUAGUGUCCGUCAUUCCUAAUGCUGUAGAUCCUACUGACUUCACUCCAGACCCAUUUAGAAGGCAUGAUAGUAUAACUAUUGUUGUUGUCAGCAGACUUGUUUACAGAAAAGGGAUCGAUUUGCUUAGUGGUAUAAUACCUGAACUCUGUCAGAAAUAUCCAGAUUUAAAUUUCAUAAUUGGAGGAGAGGGACCAAAGAGAAUCGUUUUGGAAGAAGUUCGGGAAAGAUACCAGCUGCAUGACAGGGUGCGUCUUUUGGGAGCUUUAGAACACAAGGAUGUUAGAAAUGUCUUAGUUCAAGGACAUAUUUUUCUGAAUACCUCCCUUACUGAAGCAUUCUGCAUGGCGAUCGUGGAAGCAGCCAGUUGUGGUUUACAGGUAAAAAGCUUUGAGGACAUUCAUGGUUGGGAUUUCUGUGUAUUUGGAAAAAUAAUGAGACACAUUCCAUAAUAAUGUUUUAACUGGUUUUAUUGAUCUUCCUGAGGUAUGAUUAUGGUGGAGUAUGUGUUCUUUCUUUCUUUUUAAGGUUGUAAGUACCAGAGUUGGUGGAAUUCCUGAGGUGCUUCCAGAAAACCUUAUUAUUUUAUGUGAGCCUUCAGUAAAAUCUUUGUGUGAAGGAUUGGAAAGGGCUAUUUUCCAACUGAAGUCAGGGACAUUGCCGGCUCCAGAAAACAUCCAUAACAUAGUAAAGACUUUCUACACCUGGAGGAAUGUUGCGGAAAGAACUGAAAAGGUAUAUGACCGGGUAUCAGUGGAAGCUGUGUUGCCAAUGGACAAACGACUGGACAGACUUAUUUCUCACUGUGGCCCAGUAACAGGCUACAUCUUUGCUUUGUUGGCAGUUUUCAACUUCCUCUUCCUCAUUUUCUUGAGAUGGAUGACUCCAGAUUCUAUCAUUGAUGUUGCAGUAGAUGCCACUGGGCCACGGAGUGCCUGGACUAAUAACUGUUCUCACAGUAAAAGAGGGAGUGAGAAUAAUGAGAUAUCUGAAACCAGGUAGAAGAAAGCCUAGACUGUAAGAUUUUAAACAUUUGUAAUAGUUCUAUAAAGACUCUGGAAAAUAACCUUGCUUUUGGGGGUUUUUGUUUUUUUAGAGUUAAUUUAGUAAGUUAUGCUACCUCUAUAUCAUUCAAUAUUUUCUGUUGAGGAAAGAUAAAAAUUUAUGCAAUUCCUGAGUGUAGAAACUUCUUGCACUUAUUUAAAAUUUAGGAGAGAACAUUUAAGCCACUCAGGUAUGAAAUUUUUCAGACUACUGAAAUCCCUGUAGCAGAGAUGUUUUAACAUUAUAUUUUGAGAGCUUUGGGUGCUGAAGGGCCAAACGUUUUCUGGGCAUUUUUUGGCCAGUUUUUAAUGUUACACCAUUAGACACUCACCAGAUGUUUACAAGUUUUCUUUAGGGAACUACAACAAUUAUAUGAACUGUUUUAUAUCAUGUUCAUAUACAUUUAUUAGGAAUCUAAAUUGUGUCUUUAAACAUUUAUUAGGUUCACUCAGUAGGUGUUACAUAUAAUUAACAGGUUCCUUGAGUAAGAUAGUCCAUCAGUUAUGAGCACAUUUUGAACCCCUGCUCUGUGUAGAAUGUUGAACUAGAUGCUUCCUGCCAUUAAGGAGCAGGGGUGCAUUCACUCUUUGUUUACCAUUCAAAUGGCUUACUUCAUUGUGAUCGUGGUUGAUACGAGAUCAAUAUCCAACAUGCCAAAAAUGCUCAUGCCAGUUAAUGCCAGGAAAAAAGUCACCGACACACUACUAGUACUUUGUUCCUGUUGUAUGCAUUCUCCUAGGUAGAGCCUUCAUCUUCAGUUGUGUUUAUGAAGAUAUUUUUUGCUUUUUAAAUACUGGGGACCGAUAUCACUGUUGAUAGUGCAGAGAAACCCUCCACAUUUUUCAGUGCAUAAUUGAGUUUUCUAUAAAUGCCUUCGUGUUUUCUGAGCAGAAUGUACGAGGUGUGCCAUCCCAAAACCAGCUGCUACCCUGUCCUUUUAAUGUAAGUCAGUCCCCUUCACUGUGGCCUCGCUGAUGUCUGAUAAGUAUUGUCAGUGUGCAAAAGGCUUUACUUCAGAAUGUUUUAUUUAUAGCAAACUAAGUUGAAAAUUUUAGGAACAGUCUUUGUGGGUGGAUGUCAUUAACUGUAAUUGUUGUUGCCCAGAGCCAUGGGUUUUUUAACCCCAAAUUAUCCACAUGGUGUGUAUUAUGAAUUCUUUGAACUCUUACGGUUUUUGUGAGAAAAGGACUGUGAAUUCAAAACAAUGAGGCACUUGUGGGUGCACUACAUAGAUUCUGACAGUGUUGUGAUUCUGUAUAGGAUUUUUAAAAAUGACAACAUUCACAAAAUUUAUUACUUUUUAAAAAAUAACAUGCCUAUUAACUGGUUGCACUGAUAUAAAAGAAAUAUAUUUGUGUUUUGUUUGUACUAAAAUGCAAAAGCAAGAGUGCAAUUUUUAAAAUCUAGAAGUUAGGGGUUUUGUUGGAGAAAAAUGGACUGAUCUUUAAACUAUUCAGUCUUAUUGGGAUUUUUAUGCAUAGAAACUCACAUAUAAACAUGAAAUAAACAGUGCCAAUAUUCAUAGUAAAGUGAGAAACUAUAAUAUUUGGCCAUUAUUCUAUUCAACAGGUUUUAGAGGCACGCCACCAUUUUUUCCUUAUAUUUUUGCUUAAUUUUUUAAAAUUGUCAUUUAAUUCUUAAAUUCUCAUUUAUUUGAGAUGGAAAUAAGAUCUAAAGUUAGUUGCCUUUGCCUGUAAAACAUGUGAUUUGCAAAUUAUUAUUUUUCUUUUUUUUUUUAACAAAUGGAAGUAAAUUUGUUUCACUAAAUCUUAAUUUUCAACCUUUCUGGAUACCUUAAUUGUAACUGUCAGUGUUGCACUGGUCGGUAUGUGGAAACACAUUGCUCUACCCUGCUACUUACGUUGAUUUUAAAGUGAAUUUACAGUGAUGAAGAAUUUGUGAAAAAUAUAUUUCUUUUGAUGUUUCAAAAGGUUGCCUAUGAAAAACUGAUUUGUUAAAACAUGCUACGUGUCCAAAAAUAAAGACCAGAAUGACAUUUUGAUAA